rnacentral:tRNA from 1 species
GGUUGUGGCUCAGUGGUAAAGCACUUGUCUAGCAUGUGUGAGGCACUGGGUUCAAUUCUCAGCACCA